CAGUCGCCACGGUAAUACGAAGGGUGCAAGCGUUACUCGGAAUUACUGGGCGUAAAGCGUGCGUAGGUGGUGGUUUAAGUCCGUUGUGAAAGCCCUGGGCUCAACCUGGGAAUUGCAGUGGAUACUGGGUCACUAGAGUGUGGUAGAGGAUAGUGGAAUUUCCGGUGUAGCAGUGAAAUGCGUAGAGAUCGGAAGGAACAUCUGUGGCGAAGGCGACUAUCUGGGCCAACACUGACACUGAGGCACGAAAGCGUGGGGAGCAAACAGGAUUAGAUACCCCCGUAGUCCCUGUCUCUUAUAC
rnacentral:rRNA from 1 species